CCACCCGCUGGCUCGUGCUGACAUCGCCCGUGUCAAGACAGGGUGGCACAGGAGACGAAUUCUGCAGAAUAAAGUGACUCACCGAAAACGACGGAGCCAAGAAACCAUAUUGCCACCCUCUGCCUUUCUAAAAACUGUCGACGUGACAUUUCAAAAGGCAGCGGCAGCUGCAGAGGCGACGGUCACGGCACUUUAAAGGACUCUACAUGUCCAGAAGCGGGCACGUGAGGGCCACAGCCUUGGACAACAGGA